rnacentral:rRNA from 1 species
CACGCCGUAAACGAUGUCAACUGGGUGUCGGUAGUUUUACACUAGCGGUGCCGAAGCUAACGCGUUAAGUUGACCGCCUGGGGACUACGGCCGCAAGGCUAAAACUCAAAGGAAUUGACG